UUGUGGAGGAGGACGCCGAAGGUGGGGCUAAUGACUGGGGUGAAGUCGUAACAAGGUAGCCGUACCGGAAGGUGCGGCUGGAUCACCUCCUAACAGGGAGACAACAAAAUGUUUAAUAUUAUUAUUUUGUCACCUUAGGUCGAUCGGUAUCUCACGUUUUUAAUUUAUUAAGAAUUUCAUUUCCUAAGUUUUUCUAGGUCACACCCAUUAUUUUUCCUGGGCCAUUAGCUCAGGUGGUUAGAGCGCACCCCUGAUAAGGGUGAGGUCCCUGGUUCAAGUCCAGGAUGGCCCAUAUCUCUAUGUUGGGGGUAUAGCUCAGUUGGUAGAGCGCCUGCUUUGCAAGCAGGAUGUCGGCGGUUCGAGUCCGCUUACCUCCACUGAUCACCACCUCUUCCAUAAUCGGUACAAAGGAAAUUUUUUGAGUUGUGAUCAAAUUCUGAAAGAAUCUAGCUUCCUAAUGAAAUCAUUAAGAUGCUGGACUCAUUGAAUUAAUUUCAUUGUUUUCAGAGAACCUUGACAACUGCAUAGAUUAUUUUUAAAGACAAUAAGCAUCUUUAAUGAUGCAGAUUUAUUAUUUGUGCAAAUGCAUUAAUAACAAUUCUAUUAAGCUGAUGCUUCAAUAUUUGAAGUUAUUGGUCAAGCUACAA
rnacentral:misc_RNA from 1 species